AAGUCGUAACAAGGUUUCCGUAGGUGAACCUGCGGAAGGAUCAUUAACACGUAUCCAACGUUAAACCCCCUGUGAACAUUGAGCUUGCUCUCGAAGCUUGUUUAGACUGCUGGGCAUCAAACGAACAACUGUUAACAUGGUUCUC
rnacentral:misc_RNA from 1 species